GACGAACGCUGGCGGCGUGCUUAACACAUGCAAGUCGAGCGGAAAGGCCCUUCGGGGUACUCGAGCGGCGAACGGGUGAGUAACACGUGAGUAACCUGCCCUGGACUUUGGGAUAACCCUCGGAAACGGGGGCUAAUACCGAAUAUGACUUCCCCUCGCAUGGGGGGGUGGUGGAAAGUUUUUCGGUCUGGGAUGGGCUCGCGGCCUAUCAGCUUGUUGGUGGGGUGAUGGCCUACCAAGGCGACGACGGGUAGCCGGCCUGAGAGGGCGACCGGCCACACUGGGACUGAGACACGGCCCAGACUCCUACGGGAGGCAGCAGUGGGGAAUAUUGCACAAUGGGCGGAA
rnacentral:rRNA from 1 species